rnacentral:rRNA from 1 species
UACGGAGGGGGCGAGCGUUAUUCGGAAUUACUGGGCGUAAAGGGCUCGUAGGCGGCCAACUAAGUCAGACGUGAAAUCCCUCGGCUUAACCGGGGAACUGCGUCGGAUACUGGAUGGCUUGAAUUCGGGAGAGGGAUGCAGAAUUCCAGGUGUAGCGGUGAAAUGCGUAGAUAUCUGGAGGAAUACCGGUGGCGAAGGCGGCAUCCUGGACCGACAUUGACGCUGAACGGCGAAAGCUAGGGGAGCAAACGGG